rnacentral:lncRNA from 1 species
GUUUUUUUUUUUUUAAAAAAAUAUUUCUAGGUAGUUGUUUGGUUCAUUCUGCGUACUCCUGCUUUUAGCUACAGUAAACUUAAAACAAGAAUUCUUGUAUAAACAAGCACACGUAAAAAUUCUGCUGUAAUCAAUACUUUAUUUUUUUGUCGCAAUAAAGUAUAUUAAAAACAUAUUACUAAGAAAAAUACUAUACUUUACUGUAAAUCAAAUAGGCAUCAUUUGAAAUUAGGAUAGCUGAAAGCCAAAUAAUAUAUAGAAUAGCUUAGCUAUUAUCAAUGGAGAUGUUGUCUAAAAUGUCGAGGGUUUAUUUGUAGUUUCAGGUCGAGACAGAUGAAUAGAAGAUCCAGGAGAGGAAUAAAAAAAUAAAAAUAAAAGGGGGCAAGUGACGUAGGAUAAAGUCUAGUAA